AUACUUCACAAACUCCUCCAGCGGCCACCCUUCGAUCGGAUCCGCCACGAACGACCAGACGAACUUGCACCCCCCGCCGCUUCCCUGGAGUAGCUUCAUGGUGGCCACGUAGGAUUUGAAUCCCAUGUUAUUAUCGAGGACCUCGUAGGUGAGAGUAUGUGCGAUGGGAUCAAUCAGAUUCAGCCUCUCUUUGGCCCACUUGAUCGACGACGUGGUGUCGGUGGUGGAGCAGUGGCGGAUCAAGCCCGGCUGCCCAGGUACGCCUUCGACGUAGUGACAGGUGUCGACGAAGGGGAGCCAUUUGUGGACGCUGCAGAAGCCGUCGGCCAGUAGCGGCCAGAUUUGGUGGGGAUCUGCGGCGGUUGUCUCGGCGAAGACUUCUCCUUCCCACUUCGACGGCGGCGGCGGCGGCGAUGGUUGUUCCAUGGAGAGAUAGAGAGAAAAAGAGAGAGAGAGGGAAGGUUUGGGGCUUGUUAUUUCCUUUAUGAUGGAUUUGAAGUUAGCCUAUAUAUCGACAUUCCGAUUGGUGGCACAGAACGGUUUCUUUCUUUUUUGUUUUCUUCUCCACUUUAGAAAAAUGGGAAAUAUAUUGGAUUUAUUUAUUUAAUUAUUACUUUCAUUGGGGUAAAGCAUACAAAAAAUACUCUUAGGUUAAAUAAUAAGUUUAGAAAUAUUGACAUUUUUUUCUAAUAAGGCUCACUCUCAUCCAUCAAGUUUGGCCUACCUAAACACAAUGUUGGAUAUUAUUGAAAGAUUCAAUAUAUUAUAUACAUACAUAUAUAUAUAUCUAAUUAAUGGUAGAAUAAUAAAAAUAUAUGGAAUACUCAAAUCACAUAUCUUUAUGUUUGUUGAAAUAUGCUCUAGGUUAUGUGCUAAUGGCUUCCAUUACUAUGUUAAAAGUAAAUAUAAUUUAGUCUCUUUUUCUUUUUGCAAUAAAAUAUAUUGUUUUUUAGAAAAAUGGAUAGAAAUGUUGGGCAUUGAUGAGUGGGAGAAAGGACAAAGGAAUUGCUAUCACAUGCAUGGUUGACAUUAAACUACAUUUAUGAUAUAAACAUUAAUUUCUCUCUCAAUCUUAAUGUUUGUAUUGCCAAAUUUAAAUUUAAAGUUAGAGACUCAGAUUCUUUUGUUUUGAGUUUUAAUGUAAUAUUUUUUUCAUCUUUUUUGUACUUCUCAGGAUGAAGAUUGUGUUAAAUGGUAACAUUUAAAACUUAAAUUUAAAUUUAAAAACUAAUUUAAGUAGAAAUCAAUAGUAGUAUUUUUCCCAAAUUCUAGAAAGAAAAAAAAAAAAAAGAACCCUCACUUCUUUUGAUCAUUUAAUUAAACUAUUUUCUUUACUCUCGAUUAAUUACAUAAUAAGAAACAAAAUUAUUAACUAUAAUUAGUAAGAAAUUUAAAACCAAUAUACAGACUCUUUUUAGACUGUUUUUGGGUAUGUUAUUUUAUUUAAUAUUUAUAACUUAAGACAAUUAUCAUUCAAUUUCAGUUAAGCAAAUUUAAAAUUAUGAUACAAUUGCUUUAUGUUUUCACAAGAUCAAUAAUGUUCUGCUAUGAUAUCUUUAAGAACUAAAGCUUAUGUGAAAACAUGUACUUUUUCUAAAGGUAUAUUAAAAACAUGUACAUUUGUCUUGACAAUCAAUUUGGUAGAAACAAAAACAGUCACUUUAGAUGACAUUUUUGAUCCAUUUCAAGCCUUUUAAACGUUUGGUUUUUCUAACGGAAAAAUCACUCGUGAGCAAGUUGAAACUACGACCUAUAAAUAAAUAUUUGUUAUGAUGAUCGAAACAUACUCUUUUUGAAAUUUGAAGCAUCCAAAUCUAACUAACAACCGUCAAGUGUAAUGCUAAGGACAAAAGCUUGCAUUUGAUUGUCACAAUCUUCAAACCUUCGUUAAUUUAGAGUGUAGUUUUUUCCAUAUCUACUUAAUUCAUAAUUUAGCUUAGCAUAUAUUUUUUUAAAAGAACGAUAGUAAUUAUUUUAUUUUAUUCUGUUUAUACGGUUUUUAAUCAUGAUUUUUUAUUUAUCAGUGAAAAGAAAACCUAUAUAGACAGAUCAAAUCAAUUCAUCUAUUCUAUGUUGUCAAUCCUCCCUCUUUCCAGGUACCUUUGUCUUGAAAAGCAAUUUGUUCAAAUGUCACUAUAUAUCAUUUGAAACUUGACUAUUCUAAUUUUGAUUUGUUUUCUUUUUCUUUCGUGAAAUAAAAAAAUACAAACAAAGAUAUUAAAUAACAAAUAGAAAAAACUUGAAUGCAUCUUAACUAUUAAAAUACAGUUCAUAUACACAAGAAGACGUAAGAACAAAAUCUCAAAUGAGAUACACAAUCAUAAAAUCAAACAAAUUAAACACACAUGAGAAUUUCUAAGAUAAACUCAUAGUCAACGCAACUUAAAUAACAUAGAGAAUUCAAAUUUCCCUUUCUCUACAAACAUUUGUUGUAAGUAAAAGGAAAAAUGAAACUAAAACUUAUUAUCAGCUCCAAAUAGUUCAAUAUAAAGAUUUGAAAAAUGAUAAUGUUUAUAGGGGACUCUUCUUCAAAAAGUCAGCCAUUUUAUUCACCAUUUGGUGGAGACCAGAGUCAAGAUACUUCACAAACUCCUCCAGCGGCCACCCUUCGAUCGGAUCCGCCACGAACGACCAGACGAACUUGCAUCCCCCGCCGCUUCCCUGGAGUAGCUUCAUGGUGGCCACGUAGGAUUUGAAUCCCAUGUUGUUAUCGAGGAUCUCGUAGGUGAGAGUGUGUGCGAUGGGAUCAAUCAGAUUCAGCCUCUCUUUGGCCCACUUGAUCGACGACGGGGUGACGGUGACGGCGCAGUGGCGGACCAAGCCUGGCUGCCCAGGUACGCCUUCGACGUAGUGACAGGUGUCGACAAAGGGGAGCCAUUUGUGGAGGCUGCAGAAGUCGUCGGUCAGUAGCGGCCAGAUUUGAUGGGGAUCUGCGGCGGUUGUCUCGGCGAAGACUUCUCCUUCCCACUUCGACGGAGGCGGC
rnacentral:lncRNA from 1 species